GUGGGGAAUAUUGCACAAUGGGCGCAAGCCUGAUGCAGCAACGCCGCGUGAGGGAUGACGGCCUUCGGGUUGUAAACCUCUUUUAGUAGGGAAGAAGCGAAAGUGACGGUACCUGCAGAAAAAGCACCGGCUAACUACGUGCCAGCAGCCGCGGUAAUACGUAGGGUGCAAGCGUUGUCCGGAAUUAUUGGGCGUAAAGAGCUCGUAGGCGGCUUGUCGCGUCUGCUGUGAAAUCCCGGGGCUCAACCCCGGGCCUGCAGUGGGUACGGGCAGGCUAGAGUGCGGUAGGGGAGAUUGGAAUUCCUGGUGUAGCGGUGGAAUGCGCAGAUAUCAGGAGGAACACCGAUGGCGAAGGCAGAUCUCUGGGCCGCUACUGACGCUGAGGAGCGAAAGCAUGGGGAGCGAACAGGAUUAGAAACCCCAGUAGUCC
rnacentral:rRNA from 1 species